rnacentral:lncRNA from 1 species
AGUCAAGCUUGGAAACCAUGAAGACUUCCCUCAUUAAAAACCUCACCAAGGAAAACCCAGUGGGAUAAAACCUUGAUGAGGAAAAAAGAGUGGAGACUCCAUGGUUAAGGGGAUCAGCUCCUGGGAGUAAGAUCAAUGAGCCCAAGCCUAGAAAGUAUGGAUUCCAUUGUUUUUAAUCUCGCUGCCUUAGUAAACACAUCAGCCAGUUGAUCCUCACU